rnacentral:rRNA from 1 species
UUACGUGGAUAAGGGUGGCAGGUGGAUGGUUAGGCUAUCAGAGGCGAUGAAGGACGCGCCAAGCUGCGAUAAGUCCGGGGGAGCUGCACAGGAGCUAUGAUCCCGGAAUUUCCGAAUGGGGCAACCCCGUGGGAUAACCCCCACGAUCCCGCAAGGGAGGCGAGACCCGGUGAAUUGAAACAUCUUAGUAGCCGGAGGAAAAGAAAUCGAUCCGAGAUGGCGUCAGUAGCGGCGAGCGAACGCGUCAAAGCCCAAACCAGGUGGUUUACCACCUGGGGUUGUAGGGCCUGCGAUAUGGGAUCAACAAGACGAGCAGAACGACCUGGAAAGGUCGGCCAGAGCGGGUGAUAGCCCCGUACGCGAAGUCGAGUUGGCCCUAGCGGGUACCUGAGUAACGCAAGACUCGUGAAAUCCUGCGUGAAUCUAGGGAGACCACUCUCUAAGGCUAAAUACUCCUGAUAGACCGAUAGCGAAGUAGUAGCGCGAGCGAAAACUGAAAAGGACCCCUGGCGGGGAGUGAAAAGACCCUGAAUCCUGCCACUUACAAGCAGUCGUAGACCUAUGUCGCAAGACAGGUUGGCGGCGUGCCUUUUGCAUAAUGACCCAGCGACUUACCGUUUGCAGCAAGCUUAAGGUCUUACGGACCGGAGGCGUAGGGAAACCGAGUCUGAAUAGGGCGAUCAGUUGCAGGCGGUAGACCCGAAACUUAGUGAUCUAGCCAUGAGCAGGCUGAAGCGAGGGUAAGACCUCGUGGAGGGCCGAACCCGUGACCGUUGAAAAGGUUUGGGAUGACUUGUGGCUAGGAGCAAAAGACUAAUCAAACUGAGAGAUAUCUGGUUCUCCCCGAAAUAUAUUUAGGUAUAGGCUCACGAAACUACGAUGUGGGGGUAGAGCACUGAAUGGGCUAGGGGCCUCACCGGGUUACCAAACCCAAUCAAACUCCGAAUACCAUAUCGACUAUCGUGGGGCUCAGACAGUGGGGGAUAAUCUUCAUUGUCAAAAGGGAAAGAGCCCAGACCAACAGCUAAGGUCCCUAAAGCAUGCUCAGUGGUAAAGGAAGUCAUUGUGCCCAGACAGCCAGGAUGUUGGCUUAGAAGCAGCCACCAUUUAAAGAGUGCGUAACAGCUCACUGGUCGAGCACGAUGGUGCCGAAAAUAACCGGGGCUCAAGCAUGCUACCGAAGCUUUGGCUGUGACAGUUCCUUCGGGAAUCGUCACGGGGUAGGGGAGCGUUGUGUGCAGGUUGAAGGCAGACCGAAAGGACUGCUGGACAGCACACAAGUGAUUAUGCUGGGAUGAGUAACGAUAAAGCAGGUGAGAAUCCUGCUCACCGUAAGCACACGGUUUCCUCCGGAAGGUCAUUCCGCGGAGGGUUAGGCGGUCCCUAAGUCGAGGCCGAUAGGCGUAGACGAUGGAACACGGGUUAAUAUUCCCGUCCUGCCAGUGAAGUGCCCACGGAGAACGCAUGAGACUAACACGGUGGAGCCAGAAGCUGGCCCAUCCGGUGGCGCGGUUUACCUAGUUGAAAGAUUAGGUGCACGCUUCGUCAUCGGCAAACGCCUUGAGCGCUAUAGGCGUGUGAUGUCAUGGUGCCGAGAAAAGCCCGUCGGGAGAUAAUUUCAUUGGCAACCGUACUUCAAACCGACACAGGUGUGCGAGGAGAGUAUCCUCAGGUGCGCGAGAGAACUCUGGUUAAGGAACUCGGCAAAUUCACUCCGUACGUUCGCAAGAAGGAGUGCCGGCGCAAGCCGGCCGCAGUGAAGAGGCCCAACCGACUGUUUACUAAAAACACAGUUCCGUGCAAACUCGAAAGAGGACGUAUACGGAAUGAUGCCUGCCCGGUGCUGGAAGGUUAAGGGGAGGGGUCAGCCGCAAGGCGAAGCUCCGAACUCAAGCCCCAGUAAACGGCGGCCGUAACUAUGACGGUCCUAAGGUAGCGAAAUUCCUUGUCGGGUAAGUUCCGACCUGCAUGAAAGGCAUAACGAGUUGGGCACUGUCUCAACCAGAGACUCGGUGAAAUUGCAGUAUGGGCGAAGAUACCCAUUACCCGCAGCAGGACGAAAAGACCCCGUGAACCUUUACUGUAGUCUUAUCCUGUGUUUCUGUGCAUCAUGUGUAGCAUAGGUGGGAGGCGUUGAUCCGCUGGCGCAAGUCAUCGGGGAGCCAUCAGUGAAAUACCACUCUUGAGGCAUGGAAAUUCUAACCGUUGGUUUGUAACCUUCGGGACACGGUAAGAUGGGCAGUUUGGCUGGGGCGGCUUCCUCCCAAAGCGUAACGGAGGAGCACAAAGGUCAGCUCAGUACGGUUGGCAAUCGUACGUUGAGUGCAAGAGCAUAAGCUGGCUUGACUGCGAGACUUAUAAGUCGAGCAGAGCGGAAACGCGGUUCUAGUGAUCCGGUGGUACCUCGUGGAAGGGCCAUCGCUCAACAGAUAAAAGGUACUCCGGGGAUAACAGGCUGAUCUUCCCCAAGAGUCCCUAUCGACGGGAAGGUUUGGCACCUCGAUGUCGGCUCAUCUCAUCCUGGGGCUGGAGAAGGUCCCAAGGGUAUGGCUGUUCGCCAUUUAAAGAGGUACGCGAGCUGGGUUUAAACCGUCGUGAGACAGGUUGGUCUCUAUCCGCUGUGGGCG